UACAGAGGGGGCAAGCGUUGUUCGGAAUUACUGGGCGUAAAGGGCGCGUAGGCGGCCUUCUAAGUCGAACGUGAAAUCCCCGGGCUCAACCCGGGAACUGCGUCCGAGACUGAAAGGCUCGAAUCCGGGAGAGGGAUGUGGAAUUCCAGGUGUAGCGGUGAAAUGCGUAGAUAUCUGGAGGAACACCGGUGGCGAAGGCGGCAUCCUGGACCGGUACUGACGCUGAGACGCGAAAGCGUGGGGAGCGAACAGG
rnacentral:rRNA from 1 species